rnacentral:rRNA from 1 species
UACGUAGGGGGCAAGCGUUGUCCGGAUUUAUUGGGCGUAAAGAGCGUGUAGGCGGCCAGACAGGUCCGUUGUGAAAACUCGAGGCUCAACCUCGAGACGCCGAUGGAAACCGUUUGGCUAGAGUCCGGAAGAGGAGAGUGGAAUUCCUGGUGUAGCGGUGAAAUGCGCAGAUAUCGGGAAGAACACCCGUGGCUAAGGCGGCUCUCUAGUACGGUACUGACGCUGAGACGCGAAAGCGUGGGGAGCGAACAGG